GGCGCCUCCCCCGCCUCACGGUCGCUCCCCCUUGCCUGACAACGCGGAAGCGCAGCGCCCCGGGGAGGAGCGGCGGUAGCGAUUACCGCGGCGCCCCAGCCUCGCAGCGGCGGGGAGGCCGCGCAUGCGCGCUAAGAGCGCCGGCACCCGGAUGUGGCGCUGUCCGUUCAACCCCGCCACUAUGCUCCGCGCCGCUCCGGGCUGUGGUGGCGUGAGGGGUACGAGUGGGGCGUGAGCUGGGUGUUGGCCUCCGGCCGGGCGGAGCCGGGAGCAGAUACUGAAGCUUUCUGCAGGAGCCUGUUCCUGUAGUUAUUCUCUGAAUCCUGAAAUUUCUCUUCGUAUCUUGGAACAAGCAUUUCCUACCCUCAAAACAUUGUUAACGGGAAGAUCCACCACUUCGCGAGUAGCAGAAAUGAGAAAAAUUCCCUUUGUUGUUUGUGUGUGUUUGAGAAAUCACGUUAAACUUUAUAUAUAUCUGGCAAACACAGUAUCUGACAUUUAAAAACUUAUUAAUGUUUGGACAAGAAUCCUGGAAGACACUUGAAAUUGAAGCAGCACAUAUGCCUGGUUGUCUCUAGGAAAUUUUCAUUGUGUACGAAGAAACUGCUUUUUCUGUGAAACAUUUGCAGUGUUUCAGAUUAAAGAGCGUUACGGAGAAUGUGCACUUCUAGCUUGAAGCACUUUUCAAAAGAACACUGCACAUACAUAUAGUUCUGUAAAGAUACUUGUAUUAUAGACUUAACACAACCAUUCACAUACAUUAUUUUAAUACUGUUUGUCUGGUUUUUCAGCUGUGUUGAGCUUUGAGAAUGAACACAGGGCUGGUUAUUUCACCUGCAAGUUUUCAUAUUAUCACAAUGCUUUUUUACCCAAAAACAUUGCAAUGAAAUUCUCCCUUGAAUUAUUUGUCUCAAUGUAUGCAAGUACUAUCCUUAUACAUGUACAUUUUUAUAUAUGUAUUUGGUUUUAAAAUGUAAUUUAUGAGCAUUGGGUUCAGUGAAUGUUUUUAUUGUGCAGAUUAAAAAUCAAAACAAGAAGGAAAAAAGUGAAUCAAGUACUAAUCUGAAAAAUCAGGGCAUCGUGACCUGGAGGGUAUGAGAUUCAGGCCUUCAGGGGCAGUACAUCCCAAUGGUACAAUCACUCAUGUGAGAAAUUUCUGACAGCAGAUGUGACUGAAUUCAGCAUUGAUAGGAAGCAGGAGUAACUCCAUAAUUGCUUAGGUACUAGAAUGACAGGAACUCUAUAAAAUCUCUAAUUAGAGAGAUAGA
rnacentral:lncRNA from 1 species